rnacentral:misc_RNA from 1 species
GAUGAAGAACGCAGCGAAAUGCGAUAAGUAAUGUGAAUUGCAGAAUUCAGUGAAUCAUCGAAUCUUUGAACGCACCUUGCGCUCUUUGGUAUUCCGAAGAGCAUGCCUGUUUGAGUGUCAUGAAAAUAUCAACCUUGACUUGGGUUUUGUGCUCUAGUCUCGGCUUGGAAUUGGGUGCUUGCCGCUUUUACGAGCGGCUCACCUUAAAUGUAUUAGCUGGAUCUGUCUUUGAGACUUGGUUUGACUUGGCGUAAUAAGUAUUUCGCUAAGGACAUUCUUCGGAGUGGCCUCGUUUCUAGGACGCUUGUCCGCUUUCCAAUACAAGUUCCACCUCGUGGACAUGACUUUUUAUUAUCUGGCCGCAAAUCAGGUAGGACUACCCGCUGAACUUAAGCAUAUCAAUAAGCGGAGGA